AUACGGAGGGUGCAAGCGUUACUCGGAAUCACUGGGCGUAAAGGACGCGUAGGCGGGUUGGAAAGUCUGAUGUGAAAUCCUACAGCUUAACUGUAGAACUGCAUUGGAAACUUCCAACCUAGAGUAUGGGAGGGGGAGAUGGAAUUAGUGGUGUAGGGGUAAAAUCCGUAGAUAUCACUAGGAAUACCCAAAGCGAAGGCGAUCUCCUGGAACAUUACUGACGCUAAGGCGUGAAAGCGUGGGGAGCAAACGGGAUUAGAUACCCUAAGUAGUCC
rnacentral:rRNA from 1 species